GACGAACGCUGGCGGCGUGCCCAAUACAUGCAAGUCGAACGCAGUGGGGACGGGUGAGUAACACGUGGGUAACCUCCCAUCAGAGGGGAUAACACUUGGAAACAGGUGCUAAACCGAUACUGAUGGAUGAACCCGCGGGGCAUUAGCUAGUUGGUGAGGUAACGGCUCACCAAGGCAACGAUGCAUAGGCGACCUGGGAGGGGGAUCGGCCAGGCUGGAGCUGAAGCACAGCCCAGGCGACUACGGGAGGCAGCAGUGGAGAAUCUUCAGCAAUGGACGAGAGUCUGACCGAGCAGCGCCGCGUGAGUAGAGAGGGUUUUCGGAUCGUAGAACUCUGUUGUUAGAGAAGCGGUAUCUAACCAGAAGGCCACGGCUAACUACGUGCCAGCAGCCGCGGUAAUUC
rnacentral:rRNA from 1 species